rnacentral:lncRNA from 1 species
CCUCUUGCACACUGAAAACAGCCUGAAAACAGAGGGGCUCAGAUGAUACAGGGUGUGAACAAACCAGGGUGGGCAGAGGGCUGGUUCUGGGUGUGUCAGUGAAGCUACAGGGAGGUUUGUUGCUCUGCAUCAUAAACCAAACAUAAACUCUUAAACCUUGCUGAAAAGAAGCAAUUUGAGGGUUGGGCUGGGCUGACUUGGAAUGCCUUGAGACAAUCUCUUGUUCCUUUAUGUAACUGGUUAAGGAGCAGUUGUGGGCUCAGCAGCUGACAAGAAUGUGACAAAGAGGCAUGAAUGUCAGAUAUGGACAGGAGAGAAACAGUUUCUGGAGAAAACUGUCUGUUCUUUUGAUGACUUCUGCCAAAAACUGAAGCUGCAGAGAGUAUAUCUGCUGUGGAAAACAAGGCUCUGUGAGCAUCACAAGGCUGAGUGAGUGCAGAAGAGCCAGUCCCUGGAGCCCUGCCCCCAUUAGUAGUGUCCACUUGAUUUUCUGAACCUUUUGCUAGAGCCCCUUUUACCCUGUCUAUUGUCCAUCAUGUCUGUGCUAGUCACCCCCUCUGGUGUUCUUCUUCUUUCACUUCACUGUCUCAGUAUCUUCUGUCUCAGCUCUUUCUCUCAGACUUUGGAGCAGUGUAAACUCAGAAAAACUCUGAAAUUAUGGCACCAAAAGUAUCUCAUGCUGAAGACAAUUGAACAAAGUUCUAAGCACUUGCACACAGCUGUCUGUGAGGAACCUCUUGCCAUGCUGUUUUCUGAGGACCUCUCAACAUCAUCUGGCUUUGACAGCAGUGCACCAGCUACUCUGACCUCUCAGAGCUCAUUGGAAAAGGAAUGCAGUCUUAGUGACAGCAGCCAGCAUGGCUUCUCCUCCCCUGUGGCUGCUGAGGAUGUCACACGUGUGUCAUGCCACAGUUCUUUCCUUCAGCUCCACCAGUGCACAGAGCUGCCAGCUGAGCUGUGCUUGCAGAGCUCCUUCCCUGCAUCUGGAAGAAAUUGGUUUGUGGGAAAUCAGUUCCAGUCUUAUAAUUCCCAGCCUCUCACCAGU